ensembl:lncRNA
AUUUAUGAGAUAGCCUCUGAAAGGAGACUCUCUUCUAUAUGAAAGCCGCUUCUUGAGCAGAAGUGCUUUGUAGUUAGAGACGCUAUCACCAGUCUGGGAGUCAACCUUUUCCUAUAUAUGUUUAUUGAUAUUCUCAGUGAUAUUUUGUCUGGUAUCGCAAAGAAUUUAUCAGAAGAAAAUGUACUGCUUCAUCCAAGAGCUUAUGAUAUCUUAGGUAAAUUACCCCCAGAUCUCCAGCAUUUUAUUGAUUGGAAACCUGUUUCAAAUUGAUAAAUAGAAGAUCAGUUUGUUUUCCUACUCUUUAAAUCUUGGCUCUAUUUCCUAUUUGUAACUCUACUGUAGUCUGUAGGGGGAAAAAAAUGUUAUGUUCAAAAUGCCUGUUAAGACAUUUAAACAUUUAAUGGAGGUACAAAUUCUGUAUGAAUUCUUACAUCUCCAGCUUAACACUAGGUUUGGAAACAUCUUACCCAGGGCUAAAAAAAGGAAAACAUACUGUUGAGAGAUGAGAAAGGCUUAAAACAGAUCUGUUGCUCACUUCUAUGUGCUUUAUGGGACAUUAUUUUUCUCAAAAUUUAGGUGGAAUCAGAUAAAACUUUCCUCAUACACUAUUUUUUGUCAUAAAAUACCAUAGAUCCAAAAUAGCCACUGUGGAGACAUUUUGCCUUGACAGUAUUCUGAGAUCGGAUAUACUGCUGUUACUUGUUUUCUUCAGAAAAUAAUGUUUAGCAAAAUCACGUACACAAGCAACAGGUCAGAGAAGGAUAGAAAAAAAUGACUCCAUUGCAAAUAGACUUCAGUAACUCCAAGGGAAGACUUAUCAAAGCAUUCUUAUAAAAUUCUGAAGAUUUAGUAAGUCUGAAGUUUAGGUUACAUGAAAACCCUGCAGUCUGGAAUAGAAUGGAAGGAAAUACCAAACAGUGAAAGAAAUGGUAUUCUGUUUUGAGUUUUUACUUCCAAAAUAUAAUUGUCCUUUAUAGUGAAGUUUAAAAAAAGCAAACAAAAAAACAAGGUGGAAUACCAUCAGUUUCGGCUAGUUUGCAGUUUAAAAGAGCAUACAGACACAUAACUAAUUUAUGUGUGCAGAUACGUUGACCUAAACCAACUUCACAUUCUUCAUUUAUUUAUUUUCAGUGCUGCUUGUUGUCCCAAUUUCUUUUUUGCAUGCUGGCUUGGAAGUAGAUCAACUAGAAUUGAAAUGAAUUGAGUUUCAAACCACAUGGAUCAAUACUGCAGAUGGAGGGGAAAAAAAAAAAAGAAAAAAGGAAAGAGAUCUGGUGGGGUUUUUUACCAGUUUGUACCAGACAAGUCUCUGGCUUUUGGAAACAAUUGUGUUGACUGUGGCAUAAAGAAGGCUUCAUUUUAAAACUAAGAUAGUCAAACAGCCUGUUGUAAAAUGGAAAGUUCUGCACCCCCUCCAUGCUCUUUUCACUUUGUUUGAGACCUGACUGAGCAGGAACCAGUUCAUGGAACUGAACUGGAAACCCACAGCAAAUAGUUUUCUACUCAUUAGGUUCCCCAAGUUGAUUUACUAUAGGGUCAGGUGAGACUCAGAACUAGCAUAGAGUGCAAAAGGCCAUGAGUGUAGAAGCAGCAGUACAGGCAUCCAUUUUAGUCCAACCAAUCACUAGUCUGGAUUAUCUAAGAAAACCUCUUUUCAAAAUGUCAUUGUAAAAAUAAUGAUAGUAAAUAACUUGGCAGUGUACCCUCCAGCAGCAUUUGCACAAGAUAUCACCGCCUCCUCUAAAAUACCCUGGUGUUAUUCAGUGCAUCAUAUGAGCAGAUCUGACGCUUUCUUCUACAGUAACAAACAUUUUCUUAUUUCUCUGCCUCUUUGUUUCUCCAGCUCUAUGUAUCAUGUUUUAGAAUGUCUGAGUCAAAAAUGGGAUAUCAAAAUUAAAACUUCUUGGAUCAGCACCACGAUCAUCAGUGAAUAAUCCAAAGAACAUCCAGCACUACUGAAAAUCAUACCCCCUAAACAUAAGGAACACAUUACCUACUUUUUGAGUUUUGCUUGUGGAAUUCUCUUUUCUUGCACAGAGGAGCUGGCAUGCGGCAAGGAUGUCCUCCACUUCCUACACAGAUCCUGGAUGAAUAUGUCAUUCAUUUCUCUUCACAGUCCCAAAAUAAUGGAAAAAGUCUCUUGCUUCGGUUUACUGAUAUUUCUCCCUGAUACUGAAGAUCAUGACUGAACUUUGGAGAGUACAACAAACUGAUAGGACUGAAAUGCACUGAGCUAAUUCAAGAAUUCUCCAUGUGACACUUUGCGUAAAAUAAAUGAGAGUGAAUCCAAAAUCACAUCUAAUGUCUC